rnacentral:lncRNA from 1 species
GGAGGUCCAGGGUGCAGAGGCCAGGCGGGGCCUCGGGGCCCAGCGAAGCCCUGCAGUCGAAGGGCGCCUGCUCCGGCCUCAGGCUGCUGCAGUGUGGGGGUGCAGCUAGAAGCAGCACGGGCAGGUGCUCCAUGCCCUGGGCCGGGCAGGUGGACGGCUGGGGCUGCAGACAUAGUGGCCUGCCCUCCCCAGCUCACCGGCCCCCUGUCGCCUGCUGCAGGCCCUCAACACCAUUUACGAGCUGCUGUACACCCAGGAGUACAGGGGCACGGUCCGCUGGGCCUUCGCAGGGGUGCUCAUGGGCCUGCUCACGCAGCUGCACUACCUGCUGGAGAUGGGCAUGGUGGAGGGCAUGUCAGACUACCAGGAGGACAUCCUGGACGACAAGCCCCUCGGGCCCUGCAGGACCUGCCUGGAAGCGCUGAAGGGCCUCUUCUGGACCACGAACUACUGGGAGGUGUUUGCCCACGUCAAGCUGCUCAACGGCUGGGAGUGCCUGGAGUGCCUGGAGACCUACCCCCAGGGAGUGACCCUCUUGGCCAGAGCUAUGUCCCACUAUGACUGUGAGGUCAAGGCCAUCCUGGGGCAAGCCAUCAUCUUUCUGAAGAACAGUGAGGAGCGAGACAACCUUGUGGCUAUCCUCAUCAUCUCAGAGGUCAGUUUCUCCCAGCCACCCUGACCUGCUCCUUACAUCAAGGAUAAAAAAGACACUGUCCUCUGAUAAAAGAUACCCUACUUGGGUCUGAUACACCAGAUCUGCUUCCUGCCUGAAAGUGCUUCCUUAUGUUUAACUCCAGUGUCUCAUGCUGUGGCGCUGACUUUACCUGGCAGUUGCAGGUGACAGGUAGAUUGAUGGCGCCAACCCUGUUCAGUUUCUCAGCAGCCCGGAUGUCUUCCAGCAUGUGAAUCAGAGGUCCAUGGUCAACUUCAUGAACCUGAACCUGAAAAACCCCAACCCGCUGGUGCGGGCCAUGAGCCUGCAGGCCCUCAGCAGCACCCUCAUGCACCCCAAGAAGAUGGCCCUGCUCCAGAGCCGGCUGCUGGAGCUGCUGGACAGCUUCCUGCAGCCCGAGCCCAACGACCCCCUGGGGCUGAUGCAGAUCCUGGGUGACAUCCUGCACCGCCUGGGCGACCAGGGCGUCGGCGCCGUCAUCCUCAAGAUCGCCCAGCACCUGCGGCUCUUCUUCGAGGACGUAAGUGCAGAGGUGCGAGGGUGCGCCAUCUUCCUGUUCGGGGAUGUCAUCCACAGUGGUGGCAAGAAGUUCCGGCAGGCGCUCAAGACCUUUGCCUUCCAGGCCCUGGUGCCCCUGCUCUUCCACCUGGCAGACUCCUGCCCUGAAGUGGUCAUGAAGACCAAGCUCACCUUCCUGCGCUGUGCCAUCUUGCUAAAGUGGGAAUUCCGGAAGGAGCUGUUCAGCAAGUUGGCCUGGGGCCGAGGACUGGGUGCCGAGAAUGAUGUUUUUAUCUACAUGGCCCUGACCUACCUGCACAGCCCCCACAGGAACCUGAAGCUGGCCGCCAUGAGGUUCAUCGGGGGAAUGCUGCAGGACUACUUUGCUGACCUCUGCUUCUACCUGAAGAAGGGUGACAUAAAAACCCUCAAGAAAAGUGAGCCACACCCCAUGCCCCAGGACUGGGCAGCACAGGGCCUCGGGUGGCCGACUGGGACCCCUGGGGACACAGCUUCAGAGUCAGACACAGGGUCUCUGCCACAGGCUUGAAGACCCUCAGGGAGGACCCGGACUCGAUGUGCCGCAGGUUCUACCUGAACUUCAUGGGAGACGUCAUGGAACUGUCCCACUAUGUGACCUGACCACAGGCCUCAGCCGCCACCAGGCUCGCCCCGUCCUGGUCCUUGUUGAGUUCUCUCUGUAUUAAAUGCUGACAGCAGGUUCGGGCCUCAGGCUUUGCAGGCCCCAUGUCCCAGGCAUUGCAGGUCCUGGGCUGGGCCAGACUGUCCCUCCACGGUCGCCA